GAUGAAGAACGUAGCGAAAUGCGAUAAGUAGUGUGAAUUGCAGAAUUCAGUGAAUCAUCGAAUCUUUGAACGCACAUUGCGCCCCUUGGUAUUCCAUGGGGCAUGCCUAUUCGAGCGUCAUUUGUACCUUCAAGCUCUGCUUGGUGUUGGGUGUUUGUCUCGCCUCUGCGUGUAGACUCGCCUCAAAAUAAUUGGCAGCCGGCGUAUUGAUUUCGGAGCGCAGUACAUCUCGCGCUUUGCACUCAUAACGACGACGUCCAAAAGUACAUUUUUACACUCUUGACCUCGGAUCAGGUAGGGAUACCCGCUGAACUUAAGCAUAUCAAUAAGCGGAGGA
rnacentral:misc_RNA from 1 species